rnacentral:rRNA from 1 species
AUCAAAGGUGAGCCAGUACAGGAUGGACCCGCGUCUGAUUAGCUAGUUGGUAAGGUAACGGCUUACCAAGGCGACGAUCAGUAGCCGACCUGAGAGGGUGAUCGGCCACAUUGGAACUGAGACACGGUCCAAACUCCUACGGGAGGCAGCAGUGGGGAAUAUUGCACAAUGGGCGAAAGCCUGAUGCAGCAACGCCGCGUGAGUGAUGAAGGCCUUCGGGUCGUAAAACUCUGUCCUCAAGGAAGAUAAUGACGGUACUUGAGGAGGAAGCCCCGGCUAACUACGUGCCAGCAGCCGCGGUAAUACGUAGGGGGCUAGCGUUAUCCGGAUUUACUGGGCGUAAAGGGUGCGUAGGCGGUCUUUCAAGUCAGGAGUGAAAGGCUACGGCUCAACCGUAGUAAGCUCUUGAAACUGGGAGACUUGAGUGCAGGAGAGGAGAGUGGAAUUCCUAGUGUAGCGGUGAAAUGCGUAGAUAUUAGGAGGAACACCAGUUGCGAAGGCGGCUCUCUGGACUGUAACUGACGCUGAGGCACGAAAGCGUGGGGAGCAAACAGGAUUAGAUACCCUGGUAGUCCACGCUGUAAACGAUGAGUACUAGGUGUCGGGGGUUACCCCCCUCGGUGCCGCAGCUAACGCAUUAAGUACUCCGCCUGGGAAGUACGCUCGCAAGAGGGAAACUCAAAGGAAUUGACGGGGACCCGCACAAGUAGCGGAGCAUGUGGUUUAAUUCGAAGCAACGCGAAGAACCUUACCUAAGCUUGACAUCCCAAUGACAUCUCCUUAAUCGGAGAGUUCCCUUCGGGGACAUUGGUGACAGGUGGUGCAUGGUUGUCGUCAGCUCGUGUCGUGAGAUGUUGGGUUAAGUCCCGCAACGAGCGCAACCCUUGUCUUUAGUUGCCAUCAUUAAGUUGGGCACUCUAGAGAGACUGCCAGGGAUAACCUGGAGGAAGGUGGGGAUGACGUCAAAACAUCAUGCCCCUUAUGCUUAGGGCUACACACGUGCUACAAUGGGUAGUACAGAGGGUUGC